rnacentral:rRNA from 1 species
UACAGAGGUCUCAAGCGUUGUUCGGAUUCAUUGGGCGUAAAGGGCGCGUAGGCGGCCACCGCAAGUCAAUUGUGAAAUCUCCGGGCUUAACUCGGAAAGGUCAACUGAUACUGCGGGGCUAGAGUGCGGAAGGGGCAACUGGAAUUCUACGGUGUAGCGGUGAAAUGCGUAGAUAUUAGAGGAACACCGUGGCGAAGGCGGU